UACGGAGGGUGCGAGCGUUGUCCGGAAUUAUUGGGCGUAAAGGGCUCGUAGGCGGUUUGUCGCGUCGGGCGUGAAAAUCCAGGGCUUAACUCUGGACUGGCUUCCGAUACGGGCAGACUAGAGGUAUGCAGGGGAGAACGGAAUUCCUGGUGUAGCGGUGAAAUGCGCAGAUAUCAGGAGGAACACCAGUGGCGAAGGCGACUUCCUGGCCUGUUCUUGACGCUGAGGCGCGAAAGCUAGGGUAGCAAACGGG
rnacentral:rRNA from 1 species